CCUGGUGCCAAGUGGACUGCGGUCCAGCAUGUUUUCAGUGUUCCCUGCUCUAACACAUCUGAAUUUAAUGAAUGGAUCAUGUUGAAGCUCUGCAGAAAGCCUGAUAAUGA